rnacentral:rRNA from 1 species
AUGUGCAUACCAAAAAAUGAUGGUGGAAUGGGCUUCCAUGACCUUCAUGCUUUUAACCUUGCGAUGUUAGCCAAACAAUGUUGGAGAUUGAUCUCUAAUCCAGAUGCGUUAUGUGCUCGUGUCCUUCGCGCGGAAUAUUAUCCAGAUGGUAAUAUUUUGAAGGCAGGGAACAACAAAGGAUCUUCCUUUACUUGGCAGUCUAUUGUUUCUGGAAUCCAAACUUUCAAGAGAGGUCAUAUUUGGCGCGUUGGGACAGGAUCUGAAAUCAAUAUAUGGAAUGACUACUGGGUGCCAAACAUCCCAACUAGAAAGGUUUUGACACCUAAGGGGGCUUGUUUGCUGACUAGAGUGGAAGAAUUGGUUGAUCUGUAGUUGGGAGAGUGGGAUGAAACACUCAUCAGAAACAUCUUCUUCCCUAUAGAUGUUGAGAGGAUUUUGAGAAUUACACUGAAUGUUCAGGUGGUGCAGGAUUUUGUAGCAUGGAACUUUACUAAAUCAUAUGCCUUUACAGUUCGCUCGGCGUACUAUGUACAGUGGCACCACCAGCAUGAUUCACAUGUAAGACGAAGUGAUGGACAUGGGUCCUCGACGACUAAUCCGGUGUGGGAGAUUCUUUGGAAAUUGAAAGUGCCAAGUAAAGUCAAGAUAUUUGCGUGGAAAGCUCUAUAUGGUGUAGUUGUUGCUCGAUCCAAUUUAGCAAACAGACACAUUAAGGUGUCUCUGCAAUGUCCUUUAUGCUCAGAGGAAGCCGAGGACAUCAAGCACUUGAUAUUUUCCUGUCGGCGUGCAAAGGAAGUUUGGAAUGCAUUGGGUAUUUUAUAA